UAGGGAAUAUUGCACAAUGGAGGAAACUCUGAUGCAGCGACGCCGCGUGAGUGACGAAGGCCUUCGGGUUGUAAAGCUCUGUUCUCAGGGAAAAAGCAAGUGAUUGUACCUGAGGAGAAAGGACCGGCUAACUUCGUGCCAGCAGCCGCGGUAAGACGAGGGGUCCAAGCGUUGUUCGGAAUCAUUGGGCGUAAAGCGGGUGUAGGUGGAUUUAUAAGUCAGGAGUGAAAGCCCCGAGCUUAACUUGGGAAGUGCUUUUGAUACUGUAAAUCUUGAAUGUGGGAGAGGAUCGUGGAAUUCCAGGUGUAGUGGUGAAAUACGUAGAUAUCUGGAGGAACACCGGUGGCGAAGGCGGCGAUCUGGCCCAACAUUGACACUGAGACCCGAAAGCGUGGGGAUCAAACAGGAUUAGAUACCCUGGUAGUCCACGCCAUAAACGAUGGACACUUGGUGUUGGAGGUAUUGACCCCUUCAGUGCCGAAGCUAACGCGUUAAGUGUCCCGCCUGGGGAGUACGGCCGCAAGGUUA
rnacentral:rRNA from 1 species